GACGAACGCUGGCGGCGUGCUUAACACAUGCAAGUCGAACGGAAAGGCCCUGCUUUUGUGGGGUGCUCGAGUGGAGAACGGGUGAGUAACACGUGAGUAACCUGCCAUUGACUUUGGGAUAACUUAAGGCAACUGGGGCUAAUACCGGAAAGGAGUUACUGCUGCAUGGUGGGGGUUGGAAAGUUUCGGCGGUUGGGGAUGGACUCGCGGCUUAUCAGCUUGUUGGUGGGGUAGUGGCUUACCAAGGCUUUGACGGGUAGCCGGCCUGCGAGGGUGACCGGCCACAUUGGGACUGAGAUACGACCCAGACUCCUACGGGAGGCAGCAGUGGGGUAUAUUGCACAAUGGGCGGAAGCCUGAUGCAGCAACGCCGCGUGCGGGAUGACGGCCUGCGGGUUGUAAACCGCUUUCGCCUGUGACGAAGUGUGAGUGACGGUAAUGGGUAAAGAAGCACCGGCUAACUACGUG
rnacentral:rRNA from 1 species